UCGGGAAUUUUGGGCAAUGGGGGAAGCCCUGACCCAGCAACGCCGCGUGAAGGAUGAAGUAUUUCGGUAUGUAAACUUCGAAAGAAUAGGAAGAAUAAAUGACGGUACUAUUUAUAAGGUCCGGCUAACUACGUGCCAGCAGCCGCGGUAAUACGUAGGGACCAAGCGUUGUUCGGAUUUACUGGGCGUAAAGGGCGCGUAGGCGGCAUGACAAGUCACUUGUGAAAUCUCUGGGCUUAACCCAGAACGGCCAAGUGAUACUGUCGCGCUAGAGUGCAGAAGGGGCAAUCGGAAUUCUUGGUGUAGCGGUGAAAUGCGUAGAUAUCAAGAGGAACACCUGAGGUGAAGACGGGUUGCUGGGCUGACACUGACGCUGAGGCGCGAAAGCCAGGGGAGCAAACGGGAUUAGAU
rnacentral:rRNA from 1 species